rnacentral:rRNA from 1 species
AACGAACGCUGGCGGCAUGCCUAAUACAUGCAAGUCGAACGAGAUCUUCGGAUCUAGUGGCGCACGGGUGCGUAACGCGUGGGAAUCUGCCCUUGGGUUCGGAAUAACUUCUGGAAACGGAAGCUAAUACCGGAUGAUGACGUAAGUCCAAAGAUUUAUCGCCCAAGGAUGAGCCCGCGUAGGAUUAGCUAGUUGGUGGGGUAAAGGCCCACCAAGGCGACGAUCCUUAGCUGGUCUGAGAGGAUGAUCAGCCACACUGGGACUGAGACACGGCCCAGACUCCUACGGGAAGCAGCAGUAGGGAAUAUUGGACAUUGGGCGAAAGCCUGAUCCAGCAAUGCCGCGUGAGUGAUGAAGGCCUUAGGGUUGUAAAGCUCUUUUACCCGGGAUGAUAAUGACAGUACCGGGAGAAUAAGCUCCGGCUAACUCCGUG